UCCUACGGGACGCAGCAGUGAGGAAUAUUGGUCAAUGGGAGAGAUCCUGAACCAGCCAAGCCGCGUGAGGGAAGACGGCCCUAUGGGUUGUAAACCUCUUUUGUCGGAGAACAAAACCCGGGACGUGUCCCGGACUGCGUGUAUCCGAAGAAAAAGCAUCGGCUAACUCCGUGCCAGCAGCCGCGGUAAUACGUAGGGGGCAAGCGUUAUCCGGAUUUACUGGGUGUAAAGGGAGCGCAGGCGGCGUGGCAAGUCAGAUGUGAAAACCCGGGGCCCAACCCCGGGAGUGCAUUUGAAACUGCCAU
rnacentral:rRNA from 1 species